UUUGUCUUAUUUAGAGAACUACACACUAGAAUCUGCUGGGAAGCUUCCAUGAAGCAGACAAAUCUCUGCUUUUACACUGAAGAAAUGGCUUGAAUAGGGAGGUGUUCACCUUCACUGAAAGCAGUGAUGACUUGGCAUGAUUCAGGAAGUGAGGAAGAAACCGGGAAAGAGAGAGUACCUAGGAAGAGUGCAGAAGAUGAAGCAAAAUGCACUUACAAACCAAGCUGGUGAUGAUUGUCUGGGAAAGCAAGAGCAAGAAGUGUGACUCUUAGUAACAGAACAAGUUUAUAAGCAGGGGAGAAGCAAGCAAGAAGUUUGUGGUUUGGAGACUCUCAGUGGGGAGCAGUAAACUGGGGAGUAUCACCCCUAAACCAUGACAUACAGCAAUGAAUGAGAG